rnacentral:rRNA from 1 species
UACGAAGGGGGCUAGCGUUGUUCGGAAUCACUGGGCGUAAAGGGCGCGUAGGCGGCGCGACAAGUCAGGUGUGAAAGCCCCGGGCUCAACCCGGGAAUUGCACUUGAUACUGUCGUGCUUGAGGCCGGGAGAGGAUGGCGGAAUUCCCAGUGUAGAGGUGAAAUUCGUAGAUAUUGGGAAGAACACCAGUGGCGAAGGCGGCUAACUGGCUCAUUACUGACGCUGAGGCUCGAAAGCGUGGGGAGCAAACAGG